rnacentral:rRNA from 1 species
AACGGCCGCGGUAUCCUAACCGUGCGAAGGUAGCGUAAUCACUUGUUCUUUAAAUGAGGACUAGUAUGAACGGCUCCACGAAGGCUAUACUGUCUCCCUUAUCUAAUCAGUUAAACUAAUCUCCCCGUGAAGAAGCGGGGAUUCACAUAUAAGACGAGAAGACCCUAUGGAGCUUAAAACACCUCUAAACAUUUGACCUCCACACUACUAUUUUCAGAAAUCUUCACAAAGCCCGUCAUUUUGUUUUAAGUUUUAGGUUGGGGUGACCGCGGAGAAUAACCUAACCUCCACGUAGAAAGAACUUUCUUUUCUAAGCAAAAAGCUACAUCUUUAUG